UACGUAGGGUGCGAGCGUUGUCCGGAAUUAUUGGGCGUAAAGGGCUCGUAGGCGGUUUGUCGCGUCGGGAGUGAAAUCCACUGGCUUAACUGUGGGCGUGCGGGCGAUACGGGCAGACUAGAGUACUGCAGGGGAGACUGGAAUUCCUGGUGUAGCGGUGGAAUGCGCAGAUAUCAGGAGGAACACCGGUGGCGAAGGCGGGUCUCUGGGCAGUAACUGACGCUGAGGAGCGAAAGCGUGGGGAGCGAACAGG
rnacentral:rRNA from 1 species